rnacentral:rRNA from 1 species
AAGCCCCGGCUAACUUCGUGCCAGCAGCCGCGGUAAUACGUAGGGUGCAAGCGUUAAUCGGAAUUACUGGGCGUAAAGCGUGCGCAGGCGGUUUUGUAAGUCUGUCGUGAAAGCCCCGGGCUCAACCUGGGAAUUGCGAUGGAGACUGCAAGGCUUGAAUCUGGCAGAGGGGGGUAGAAUUCCACGUGUAGCAGUGAAAUGCGUAGAGAUGUGGAGGAACACCGAUGGCGAAGGCAGCCCCCUGGGUCAAGAUUGACGCUCAUGCACGAAAGCGUGGGGAGCAAACAGGAUUAGAUACCCUGGUAGUCCACGCCCUAAACGAUGUCUACUAGUUGUCGGGUCUUAAUUGACUUGGUAACGCAGCUAACGCGUGAAGUAGACCGCCUGGGGAGCACGGUCGCAAGAUUAAAACUCAAAGGAAUUGACGGGGACCCGCACAAGCGGUGGAUGAUGUGGAUUAAUUCGAAGCAACGCGCAGAACCUUACC